rnacentral:tRNA from 1 species
CAGGAGAGAGUUUAAGAGAAUAUUAAUUUUGGGGAUUAAAGGACUAAGUUUAGUUUCCUGA